UGCACCUGCUGACGAGUGGCGAAAGGGUGAGUAACCCGUGAGCAACCUGCCUCGAAGUCCGGGAUAGGCUUGGGAAACCGAGAUUAAUACCGGAUGUGGCUGUUUAACCGCAUGGUUUUACAGCUGAAGUAAAUACGCUUCGAGAUGGGCUCGCGUACCAUCAGCUAGUUGGUGAGGUAACGGCUCACCAAGGCAGCGACGGAUAGGUGGUCUGAGAGGAUGGUCACCCACACUGGGACUGAGACACUGCCCAGACUCCUACGGGAGGCUGCAGUCGAGAAUCUUCCGCAAUGCGCGAAAGCGUGACGGAGCGAUGCCGCGUGCCGGAUGAAGGCCUUCGGGUCGUAAACGGCUGUCACCCGGAACGAAUAUUGACGGUACCGGGAGAGGAAGCCACGGCUAACUACGUGCCAGCAGCCGCGUGUAAUACGUAGGUGGCUAGCGUUAUUCGGAUUUAUUGGGCGUAAAGGGUUCGUAGGGGGCCGAGUACGUCUGAUGUGAAAUCCCACGGCUCAACCGUUGAACUGCAUUGGAUACUGCCCGGCUAGAGUACUGGCGAGGAACGCAGAAUUCCUGGUGUAGACGGAGGAAUGCCUAAAUAUCAGGAGGACUACCGACGGCGAAGGGAGCUUACUGGACAGUUACUGACCCUCAUGAACGUAAGCUAGGGGAGCAUACAGGAUUAGAUACCCUGGUAGUCCUAGCUGUAAACGUUGUUCACUAGAUGUAGGCGGAUUGGUCCCGUCUGUGUCCAAGCUAACGUGAUAAGUGAACCGCCUGGGGAGUACGUCCGCAAGGCUAAAACUCAAAGGAAUUGACGGGGGCCCGCACAAGCGGUGGAGCAUGUGGCUUAAUUCGAGGCAACGCGAAGAACCUUACCUGGGUUUGACAUAUAUCUGACCGCCAUGGAAACAUGGUUUCUCUUCGUAGCGGAUAUACAGAUGCUGCAUGGCUGUCGUCAGCUCG
rnacentral:rRNA from 1 species